rnacentral:misc_RNA from 1 species
GGUUACCAACAAUGCUCAAGUAAAAAAGGUAAGAAUUUAGCUAAGCAUAUGCAGAAAGAAAUGACCAGACUUGAAGCUGAGCUACGAAGUCCAGAGCCUUCUGCUUCUUGUUUAAAAACGUUGUUGAUGGAAAAGAAUUUGAAAAUUGAGGAGGUUUGUGUGUCUUGGGAAAUUCUUAAGUAAAUUCUACUUCAUCUUAAGCACUUAGCUCCUUGUUUAGUUUAAAAAUUUAAUCAAUUUUAAGAAUUCUGUUACUGGUUGAUCUCUAAGUUGCAGGGAGAUUCUUCUAGAAACUUAAAUUUCUUGAACACAGUGCUUUUGUUCCCUGUGUAGCUUUGGCAUCUCCACUUUACGCGAAUACGUUGAAAACACACACAAAGCAUAUGCUAGGUCUUUUCUUUAAUUGAAGCACCAGUUCUAUUUUAUUUUUUGCUUGGUAUAAUUGUUUUAUCUUUAAUUAUCAUUAUCUAACUAGAAUCAGAGGUCAAAAAAGUGCCAGACGUGCAUAUGCUAUUUUUUCAUCUUCAUAUGGUUUUUAUCUGUAAAUGACUUUUCUGAAUUGCAGAUGGAGAGGGAAAUGAAAGAGCUGAAAAGGCAGAGAGACAUUGCACAAUCCCAGCUUGAACAAGAAAGGAAAGCACACAAGGAGCAGAAGGUGCAAAGAAACCAGUGUGGGCCCUCUAGCCAAGUAGCCAGGUGUCUUUCUUUUCCUGUUGAGGAUGAGCCAUGCAAAGACAAACAUACUCCGGAAACAAGACAAAGAAAUGUAGUUGGAAGACAGGCAAUGAUUAGACAGUCAACCACUUCUACAGAUCCAUCAAUGCUUGUUCACGAAAUACGUAAGCUUGAGCAGCUGCAGAGGCAACUAGGUGAGGAAGCAAAUCGAGCACUUGAAGUACUUCAUAAGGAGGUUGCUUCUCACAGAAUGGGAAGUCAAGCAACUACAGAAACCUUAGCGAAGAUGCUGUCCGAGAUUAAGGACAUGCAAGUAGUCAACUCUGUUCCUGAAGAGAUUGUGAUUGGGGACAAGGCCAAUCUGAAGGAAGAGAUCACUCGAUUAAACUCUCAAGAAAGCACCAUUGCAUCUUUAGAAAGGAAGCUUGACAAUGUUCAGAAAUCUAUAGACAUGAUAGUUUCCUCUUUUCCAAUUAAUGAGGAGACUCCAGAUUUCAAGUCCCAAUUGAAGAAGAAGAAAACCUUUCCUUUUGCAUUGAGCAACAGUUCAAACAUGCAAAAUAUCAUAAGGUCCCCAUGCUCACCUCUGUCCUCUUCUCGAGGAGUGGUGGAGAAUGACAUUGAGAACAGAGUUCCUGAGAAUAGUAAUCUAUUGUUUAGUGACAAUAGAUUGCCUAAGCCAUCUGAGGUUACUCCCUUAAAGAGUAGUAAAAGUGACUGCUGUGCCUCAUCAAGAGAGGGAACUCCAACGUUGCGGUCAAAUUCAGUUAAUGUGAAGAAAAUGCAGAGAAUGUUCAAGAAUGCUGCCGAAGAUAAUAUACAAAGCAUUAGAGCUUAUGUUACUGAGUUAAAAGAAAGGGUAGCAAAGCUACAAUAUCAAAAGCAGCUUCUGGUUUGCCAGGUGUUGGAGCUAGAGGCAAAUGAGGCUGCAACUGUUGAGGCUGAUGCUACUGAACAGUCCCCCAUGGCCUGGCACUUGCUCUUUGAGGAUCAAAGAAACCAAAUUGUGAUGCUGUGGCAUUUAUGCCAUGUUUCAAUUAUACACAGAACACAAUUUUAUCUGUUAUUU